rnacentral:rRNA from 1 species
GCGGCGGACGGGUGAGGAACACAUCGGAAUCUACCCUGUUGUGGGGGACAACGUAGGGAAACUUACGCUAAUACCGCAUACGACCUUUGGGUGAAAGUGGGGGACCCGCAAGGGCCUCACGCGAUUGGAUGAGCCGAUGUCCGAUUAGCUAGUUGGCGGGGUAAUGGCCCACCAAGGCGACGAUCGGUAGCUGGUCUGAGAGGACGACCAGCCACACUGGAACUGAGACACGGUCCAGACUCCUACGGGAGGCAGCAGUGGGGAAUAUUGGACAAUGGGGGCAACCCUGAUCCAGCCAUGCCGCGUGGGUGAAGAAGGCCUUCGGGUUGUAAAGCCCUUUUGUACGGGAAGAAAAGCUUCGGGUGAACAUCCUGGGGUCAUGACGGUACCGUAAGAAUAAGCACCGGCUAACUUCGUGCCAGCAGCCGCGGUAAUACGAAGGGUGCAAGCGUUACUCGGAAUUACUGGGCGUAAAGCGUGCGUAGGCGGUAUGUUAAGUCUGAUGUGAAAUCCCCGGGCUCAACCUGGGAAUGGCAUUGGAUACUGGCAGGCUAGAGUACGGUAGAGGGUGGUGGAAUUCCCGGUGUAGCAGUGAAAUGCGUAGAGAUCGGGAGGAACAUCUGUGGCGAAGGCGGCCACCUGGACCAGUACUGACGCUGAGGCACG